UCACUGCCUCACCCCACCUUUCAUAUCGGCCGCCGCUCCCCUCCGAAGCUUCUCGAUCCCUCCCCCCGCUUCCGUUUCCGUUUCCGUUUCGUCCCCGUCGUCUCCCCCCUCGCCGCGGCGGCGGAGUCGCCCGCACUCGCUGCGCGCAGGAACGAUGAGCCGACGUAACGGCCGCACCAUCUACGUGGGCAACCUCCCCGAGGACAUCCGCGAGAGAGAGAUUGAGGAUCUCUUCUACAAGUACGGUCCUAUUGUCGAUAUCGAUCUGAAAAUUCCUCCAAGGCCUCCUGUUUAUGCUUUUGUCGAGUUUGAAGACCCACGUGAUGCUGAUGAUGCAAUUUAUGGCCGUGAUGGAUACGACUUUGAUGGCUGCAAAUUGCGGGUGGAGUUAGCUCAUGGGGGAAAAGGCCCUUCUUUUGAUCGACCAAACAGCUAUACUAGUUCUGGACGUCGUGGUGCACUUAGGCGUUCUGAUUACCGCGUUAUUGUUACCGGAUUACCUUCUUCAGCAUCAUGGCAAGAUCUCAAGGAUCAUAUGCGGCGAGCUGGUGAUGUCUGUUUCUCUGAUGUUUAUCCUGAGGCUGGAGCAAUUACUGGAAUAGUUGAGUAUACCAACUACGAAGACAUGAAACAUGCGAUAAGGAAGCUUGAUGAUUCAGAGUUCCGUAAUGCAUUUUCACGCACAUAUAUCAGGGUGAGGGAGUACAAUGCUAGGCGUAGCCGCUCUUACUCGAGAAGUAGAAGCCGAAGCUGCUCUUACUCGAGAAGCAGAAGUCACAGUUAUAGCAGGAGCAGGAGUCCAAGAUCUGGACCAUGCGACUGUCUGGGGAUUGCAUUGGUAGGAUAUUGGCACGUUCAGAAUCAAAGGAUGGUUUUGGGCGUUGGAUAGUUCUGCUGGAUUGUGAUUGUAUGGCAAGUGGAGUACAACCAGCGAUAGGAGGGCUGGCACUAAACAUAAUGGAGUGGAUUCUGUGGUCAUCAUCAAGAUCCCUAUCACCUGCCGCACCUGCGCGUGACAAGUCUGCAAGCAGGAGCCCCAUCAGGAGCAGAAGUUUACCCCGUUCUCAGUCUCCUGUGAAAUCUGAGUGAAGCCAGAUGCACUUGAAGUCAGAAAAAAAAACAUAUCAGGAUUUUUUGGAUUAGGACAAUAUAAUAUGGAUUGCGGGUGCUCUGUCUCAAGAAGUACCAUUGCUAUUCCUUGGAAGGAAAAACGUCAACUUUGUGGUUUGAGAUCAAUGUAGGAGUCUGGUGUUGUUUUACUUCUGCACUUCAGUUGCAAGAACGUAAAAUCGUGAACUCAUGGCUUUAACUUUAGUAUGCUAUAGUUCCGUGUCGAAAAACUUAAUGCUGCAGCAGAGUUUA